rnacentral:rRNA from 1 species
GAUGAACGCUGGCGGCGUGCUUAACACAUGCGAGUCGAACGAUGAAGCCCAGCUUGCUGGGUGGAUUAGUGGCGAACGGGUGAGUAACACGUGAGUAACCUGCCCUUAACUCUGGGAUAAGCCUGGGAAACUGGGUCUAAUACCGGAUAGGAGCGUCCACCGCAUGGUGGGUGUUGGAAAGAUUUAUCGGUUUUGGAUGGACUCGCGGCCUAUCAGCUUGUUGGUGAGGUAAUGGCUCACCAAGGCGACGACGGGUAGCCGGCCUGAGAGGGGGACCGGCCACACUGGGACUGAGACACGGCCCAGACUCCUACGGGAGGCAGCAGUGGGGAAUAUUGCACAAUGGGCGCAAGCCUGUUGCAGCGACGCCGCGUGAGAGAUGACGGCCUUCGGGUUGUAACCCUCUUUCAGUAGGGAAGAAGCGAAAGUGACGGUACCUGCAGAAGAAGCACCGGCUAACUACGUG